rnacentral:antisense_RNA from 16 species
GGCGUUUGCAGUAGCAAAUUGGCUCGUUCUUUGAUGUCACCACCGAUGUGAUAGGGCAAGCCGCAGUUGGCAAACGAGACGAAAGGGCCCCGUUCAAACAUAAUGAUUUGCGCAUCUUCGCUCAAACGACGCGCACGCGCUGCCGCAGAAGCCCCGCCGGCAACACCGC